rnacentral:rRNA from 1 species
GACAGGUGCUGCAUGGCUGUCGUCAGCUCGUGUCGUGAGAUGUUGGGUUAAGUCCCGCAACGAGCGCAACCCUUAUCCCUAGUUGCCAUCAGGUAAAGCUGGGAACUCUGGGGAGACUGCCGGUGAUAAACCGGAGAAGGCGGGGAUGACGUCAAGUCCUCAUGGCCCUUACAUCCCGGGCUACACACGUGCUACAAUGGCAGGUACAGAGGGCUGCGAAGCCGCGAGGUGGAGCGAAUCCCAGAAAACCUGUCUCAGUCCGGAUUGAAGUCUGCAACUCGACUUCAUGAAGGCGGAAUCGCUAGUAACCGCGGAUCAGCAACGCCACGGUGAAUACGUUCCCGGGCCUU